CUCACCGCGAGGUGGGGCCUGAAAGAAGCGCGGAGCAAAGACGCGAGCCGAUGAACAAGAACUUGAUGCGAGGCAGGCCGUGUUCGGGCGAGCUGGCAAAUGGCAGCGAAGCCCACAUCCAUCAAGGUGUGUCUGGCGAAUUGUUACGCGAUUUCCCCGGUAAUCGGGCAGUUAAAGUGGGCUGGGUCUGCCC
rfam:Acidobacteria bacterium 13_2_20CM_56_17 13_2_20cm_scaffold_8912, whole genome shotgun sequence.